rnacentral:rRNA from 1 species
AGAAAGUGACUUCGGUCACGAGUAGAGCGGCGGACGGGUGAGUAAUGCGUGGAUAAUCUACCCUUAAGUCUGGGAUAACUUCGGGAAACUGAAGCUAAUACCGGAUAUGACCACGCCAUUUGCGAAUGAAGUGGUGAAAGGUGGCUAGCUUGCUAGCUAUCACUUAGGGAUGAGUCCACGUCCCAUCAGGUUGUUGGUGAGGUAAAUGCUCACCAAGCCUAAGACGGGUAGCCGACCUUAGCGGGUGAACGGCCACACGGGGACUGAGACACGGCCCCGACUCCUACGGGAGGCAGCAGUGGGGAAUAUUGGGCAAUGGGCGAAAGCCUGACCCAGCGAUACCGCGUGAGGGAUGAAGGCUUUCGAGUUGUAAACCUCUGUCAAGAGGGAAGAUGGGUCUGUAAGCUAAUACCUUACAGACUUGACGGUACCUCUAAAGGAAGCCCCGGCUAACUCCGUGCCAGCAGCCGCGGUAAUACGGAGGGGGCAAGCG